GUCGGCAAUAGUCAAUGUCAGCGAUAGAAUGUUGGUCGGGGAAACUUCUAUCAGACAGUCGGUCGGUAAUGCACACACACCAACUGAUUUUCGGUCGGCAAUGCAUAAUGUUUUGGGGUCCAACCGUUGGUCGGGAAUGGAGCUAUGUCCAUCGAACUGUCGGUCGGCAAACAAUGCCGACCAACAACUGGUUGCUAAGUGGGCUGAUGAUGGGCGCGCGGCCGAAACUUUGAAGCGCCAAAAUUUAGCCCAGCCCGCGAAAUCGGCCUAAGAAGGGAUCGUAUAAAAUAGCUAACCCUAACCCUCCUAUCCUCUGUCCCUCUAUCAGUCGGGCGGCGGCGGCGGCCCGACCCCGUCUCCUCCAAUCCUCCCGAUCUUGCCGUCGGCAGAUCUGCCUAAUUUUUUGGCGAGCCACGAUGGGGGCACGGCCCAACCACUUCCUCCUCCCGUCGAUUGCUCUCUCUUAUCAGCAUCCUUGGCGCCGCCCUUCCCCGCGAUGAAGCAGAUCGAUGGGAGCUCUUGGACGGCUCGCUCGGUUCCCUUGCCACCUCUUGUGCUGGCACCCUCGGCGAUGCAGCUCCACGGUGCAGGCGUAGCGUUUUUCUGGCCGAGCCGAGCCCCACCGAUGCAUGCUCUCUGAUACGGCUUCACCCGAGCUCCAACGGUGCAGCAGCAGCGGCAAAACGAGAGGGAUCAGGCGCAUCCAUGCUCUAGUUUCUCUCCCGCCUUCUUCUUACUCCGGCUUUCUUGCUCGAUUUAUUUCUGUUUCCGAUCCGGUUAACUGAUUCAUGGUGUUUCAUUCACGAUUUGGAAUGCAGGAGCCCAGAGCUGGGGUUCUGCGUCGCCCUUCGAGAACCGCUGGUGAGGCUGCAGCGCCUCAUGUUCGACUUUUAGAGGUCGCGUGGCGGCACGACCGACUCGACGGUGUGCUCUAUAGAGAAUGAAUUAUCAUGCUGAGUUUGUGUUGCGGCAUGUACUCUACCAAGUAGCUUGAUGUUUAAUGUAAUAGUAAAUUCCAUCUCAUUACACAUGAACAUUCUAGUUACAUUUUGUAAACCUGAUGUAUUUGGUAAUCAUGCUGAGAAUAGAUGAACAAUUUGUAUGUGUGUGAAGUAGUACAUGAUAUUAUUCUUUAGUGGUGGGUUAAUGUAUUCCUUGAUAUUUUUGGAUAUUAUUUAUCCACGUGUUCAUAAA